CAGCCGCCGCGGUAAAACCAGCACCUCAAGUGGUCAGGAUGAUUAUUGGGCCUAAAGCAUCCGUAGCCCGUUUUGUAAGUUUUCGGUUAAAUCCAUGCGCUUAACGUAUGGGCUGCCGGGAAUACUGCAUAACUAGGAAGUGGGAGAGGUAGACGGUACUCGGUAGGAAGGGGUAAAAUCCUUUGAUCUAUUGAUGACCACCUGUGGCGAAGGCGGUCUACCAGAACACGUUCGACGGUGAGGGAUGAAAGCUGGGGGAGCAAACCGGAUUAGAUACCCGGGUAGUCCCAGCUGUAAACUAUGCAAACUCAGUGAUGCAUUGGCUUAUGGCCAAUGCAGUGCUGCAGGGAAGCCGUUAAGUUUGCCGCCUGGGAAGUACGUACGCAAGUAUGAAACUUAAAGGAAUUGGCGGGUGAGCAACA
rnacentral:rRNA from 1 species